GAUGAACGCUGGCGGCGUGCCUAAUACAUGCAAGUCGAGCGCAGCGGGGACGGGUGAGUACCACGUGGAAAAACUCCUUUACGGCUGGGAUAACUUCGGGAAACCGGAGCUAAAACGGAUAUUUAUAGAUGGCUGCUCGGUGCAUUAGCUAGUUGGUAAGGUAACGGCUUAGCAAGGCAACGACGCAUAGCCGACCUGAGAGGGUGAUCGGCCACACUGGAACUGAGACACGGUCCAGACUCCUACGGGAGGCAGCAGUAGGGAAUCUUCCGCAAUGGGCGAAAGCCUGACGGAGCAACGCCGCGUGAGUGAUGAAGGUCUUCGGAUCGUAAAACUCUGUUAUUAGGGAAGCGGUACCUAAUCAGAAAGCCACGGCUAACUACGUGCCAGCAGCCGCGGUAAUAC
rnacentral:rRNA from 1 species